UACAGGGGCCUCGAGCGUUAGGCGGAAUCACUGGGCUUAAAGCGUGUGUAGGCGGACUUCUAAGUACCUUGUGAAAUCCCACGGCUCACCCGUGGAACUGCUCGGUAUACUGGUCGUCUUGAGCCUUCUAGGGGCGAGUGGAACAAAUGGUGGAGCGGUGAAAUGCGUAGAUAUCAUUUGGAACGCCAAUGGUGAAAACAACUCGCUGGGGAAGUGCUGACGCUGAGACACGAAAGCCAGGGGAGCGAACGGG
rnacentral:rRNA from 1 species